rnacentral:rRNA from 1 species
UAAUACAUGCAAGUCGAACGAGACCUUCGGGUCUAGUGGCGCACGGGUGCGUAACGCGUGGGAAUCUGCCCCUUGGUUCGGAAUAACAGUUAGAAAUGACUGCUAAUACCGGAUGAUGACGUAAGUCCAAAGAUUUAUCGCCAUGGGAUGAGCCCGCGUAGGAUUAGCUAGUUGGUGUGGUAAAGGCGCACCAAGCCUACGAUCCUUAGCUGGUCUGAGAGGAUGAUCAGCCACACUGGGACUGAGACACGGCCCAGACUCCUACGGGAGGCAGCAGUGGGGAAUAUUGCACAAUGGGCGCAAGCCUGAUGCAGCGACGCCGCGUGGGGG